UACGGAGGGUGCAAGCGUUAUCCGGAUUCACUGGGUUUAAAGGGUGCGUAGGCGGGCAGAUAAGUCAGUGGUGAAAUACCUGAGCUUAACUUGGGAACUGCCAUUGAUACUAUUUGUCUUGAAUGUCGUGGAGGUUAGCGGAAUAUAUCAUGUAGCGGUGAAAUGCUUAGAGAUGACAUAGAACACCUAUUGCGAAGGCAGCUAACUACGCGAAUAUUGACGCUGAGGCACGAAAGCGUGGGGAUCAAACAGG
rnacentral:rRNA from 1 species